ensembl:misc_RNA Gm56475 predicted gene, 27761
CUAUAAAAGAUGUAACAGAUGCAAACUGUAACACAAGGGCCAUUAACCCUUUCUCCGCCGCCCAGCACGCCCAGUUCCCUACACCCUGCACCUAUUGUCUCCCGUGCUACAAGCUUUGCGGAAAACCUGGAA